UGCCCAGCAACUCCUAUCCCUACCUCCUCGUGGUACCGACGAAAACUACGAGCAACUUUAGGGAAGCUCGGAUAACCAACCCCGGUGGGAUCUUCGGUCGUAGGCUGACAGGGAAGG
rnacentral:ribozyme from 1 species